rnacentral:pre_miRNA from 1 species
UUUAUACUCCCUCCGUCCAGAAAUACUUGUCGAAAAAAUGGAUGUAUCUAGAACUAAAAUAUGUCUAGAUACAUCCAUCUCUUCGACAAGUAUUUCUGGACGGAGGGAGUACAUU